rnacentral:rRNA from 1 species
AACGAACCGUGCGAACGUUGUUCGGAAUCACUGGGCUUAAAGGGCGCGUAGGCGGGCUGUCAAGUCUGGGGUGAAAUGCCGCGGCUCAACCGUGGAACUGCCUUAGAUACUGACGGCCUCGAGGAAGGUAGGGGCAUGCGGAACUGUAGGUGGAGCGGUGAAAUGCGUUGAUAUCUACAGGAACUCCGGUGGCGAAAGCGGCGUGCUGGACCUUUUCUGACGCUGAGGCGCGAAAGCUAGGGGAGCAAACGGG